rnacentral:rRNA from 1 species
AUACGGAGGGUGCAAGCGUUAUCCGGAAUCAUUGGGUUUAAAGGGUCCGUAGGCGGAUAAUUAAGUCAGGGGUGAAAUCCCACAGCUCAACUGUGGCACUGCCUUUGAUACUGGUUAUCUUGAGUUAUAGGGAAGUAGAUAGAAUAUGUAGUGUAGCGGUGAAAUGCAUAGAUAUUACAUAGAAUACCGAUUGCGAAGGCAGUCUACUAUCUGUAUACUGACGCUAAGGGACGAAAGCGUGGGGAGCGAACAGGAUUAGAUACCCCAGUAGUCC